UACGGAGGGUGCAAACGUUGCUCGGAAUCAUUGGGCGUAAAGCGCACGUAGGUGGUCUGUUAAGUCGGAUGUGAAAGCCCUGGGCUCAACCCAGGAAGUGCAUUCGAAACUGGCAGGCUUGAGUAUGGAAGAGGGUCGCGGAAUUCCCGGUGUAGAGGUGAAAUUCGUAGAGAUCGGAAGGAACACCAGUGGCGAAGGCGGCUACCUGGCCUAAUACUGACACUGAAGCACGAAAGCGUGGGGAGCAAACAGG
rnacentral:rRNA from 1 species